GGCUUCGUAGCUCAGUUGGUAGAGCGCUUGCCUCGUUGAGGUAUGGUGUUUCUGUCGCUAUUUCGAGUCCAGUCGAAGCCC